AUUGAACGCUGGCGGCAGGCCUAACACAUGCAAGUCGAGCGGAUGAAGGGAGCUUGCUCCUGGAUUCAGCGGCGGACGGGUGAGUAAUGCCUAGGAAUCUGCCUGGCAGUGGGGGAUAACGUCCGGAAACGGGCGCUAAUACCGCAUACGUCCUGAGGGAGAAAGUGGGGGAUCUUCGGACCUCACGCUAUCAGAUGAGCCUAGGUCGGAUUAGCUAGUCGGUGGGGUAAAGGCCUACCAAGGCGACGAUCCGUAACUGGUCUGAGAGGAUGAUCAGUCACACUGGAACUGAGACACGGUCCAGACUCCUACGGGAGGCAGCAGUGGGGAAUAUUGGACAAUGGGCGAAAGCCUGAUCCAGCCAUGCCGCGUGUGUGAAGAAGGUCUUCGGAUUGUAAAGCACUUUAAGUUGGGAGGAAGGGCAGUAAGUUAAUACCUUGCUGUUUUGACGUUACCAACAGAAUAAGCACCGGCUAACUUCGUG
rnacentral:rRNA from 1 species